UAAAUGAAAAUACUAAGCAAUUUCAAGGAAUGUCAUCAUUCUAGGAGUCUAGGCAAAGAGUAUAGAGUACUUCUGAAUUCCAAUCUGCUCGAUAAUUUUAUUGUUGAUAUUUUCUAAAGAAAUGUGCUGGAUUUAAAUUUUUUCUGCAGCACUGACCUGUGUUAGGAAUGUCUAUAAAUAAGUAGUCAUUAUGAAAUGAAACCAAAUUAUUUUAUUCACUUUUGCUUUAGAUGAAUAAAUUAUCUAAGGAAAAUUCGGAAUUAAAAUUCUGAAUUAGGAGUUCCCGUUGUGGCGCAGUGAUUAACGAAUCCGACUAGGAACCAUGAGGUUGCGGGUUCGAUCCCUGCCCUUGCUCAGUGGGUUAACGAUCCGGCGUGGCCGUGAGCUGUGGCGUAGGUUGCAGACGCGGCUCGGAUUCCGCGUUGCUGUGGCUCUGGCGUAGGCCAGUGGCUACAGCUCCGAUUCGACCCCUAGCCUGGGAACCUCCAUAUGCCGCGGGAGCGGUCCAAGGAAAUAGCAAAAAGACAAAAAAAAAAUUCUGAAUUAAUUUUAUCUUUUCUUACUGCAGAUUAUUUUAUUGAAAUAUAGAACUGAUUUACAAUACUAUAUUCAUUUCAGAUGUACAGCAUAGUGAUUCAGUAUUUUAUUAUACUCCAUUAGAAGUUAUUACAAAGUAAUGACUAAUUCCCUGUGCUACAUAAUACAUCCUUAUUAUCUACUUUAUAGUAGUUUGUAUCUCUUAAUUCCAUAGGCCUGUCUUUCCCCUCUCCUCGCUAGUAAUAAUGAAUUUUUUUUUCUGUUUGUUUUGUAAUACACACUUGUUCAUUUUUUUAUCCCAUAUAUAUGUGAUAUCAUAUGGUGUUCGUCUUUCUCUGAGCAAUAUUCCUUUGUACAUAUAUACCACAUUUUCCUCAUCCAUUCAUUUGUUGAUGGACACCUGGGUUGUGUCCAUAUUUUGGCUAUUGUAAACAGUGAUCUAUGAAUAUGGUUUGCAUGUAUCUUUUCAAAUUAUUGGUUUUUUUUCCAGAUAUAUGCCCAAGAGUAGAAUUGCUGGAUUCUAUGGCAGUUCUUUUUUUUUGCUUUUGAAGAAACUUCCAUACUGUUUUUUCACAGUGGCUACAGCACUUUACAUUCCUACCAAGAGUGUACAAGAUUGCCUUCACCCCACAUCCCUGCAAACAUUUGUUGCUUUUUGUUGACAGCCAUUCUGACACGUGUGAGGUGAUCUCUUCUUGUUGUGAUUUGCAUUUUUCUAAUGACUAGCAAGGUUGAGCAUCUUUUCUUGUGCCUAUGAGCCAAAUGUAUGUCUUCUUUGGAAAAAUUCUACUCAGGUUGUUUAACCAUUUUUUGGAUUGGGUUAUUUGGUUUUUCAUAUUAAGCUGUAAAAGCUAUUUAUAUAUUUUGGAUAUUAACCCCUUGUUGGUCAUAUUACUUGCAAAUUUUUCUCCCAUUCCAUAAGUUGUCUUUUCAUUUUUUUGCAGUGGUUCCCUUACUAUGUAAAAACAUUAAAGUUUAAUUAGAUCCCAUUUUUUCACUUUUACUUUAGGAGACAAAUCCAAAAAAAUACUGCUACGAUUUAUGCCAAAGGGUGUUCUACUUUUGUUUUCUGCUAGUUUUAUGGUUUCAUGUAUCACAUUUAGGUCUCAAAAAAUUUGUUUUCCUGUCUUUCUAGGGCUACAAUGAAGCAUAUGGAAGUUUCCAAGCCAGCGGUCAAAUUGGAGCUGUAGCCGUAGGCCUAUGACAGAACCACACCAAUUGCCAGAUCUGAGCCAUGUCUGUGACCUACACCACUGCUCACAGCAACAAUGGAUCCUUUAUAACCCACUGAUUGAGGCCAGGGAUUGAACCCACAUCCGUAUGGACACCAGUGGGGUUCAUUACCACUGAGCCACAUGGGAACUCCAUAUUUAGGUCUUUAAAAUCCAUUUUGAGUUUAUUUUUGUUUGUGUUUUGAGGAAAAAUUCUAAUCUCAUUAUUUUAGACAUAUAUUCAAGCCCUGGCCUUGCUCAAUGGGUUAAGGAUAAUGCAUUGCCAUGAGCUGUGGUACAGGUCAUGGACAUGGCUUGGAUCUGGCAUUGCUGUGGCUGUGGCAUAGGUCAGCAGUUACAGCUCCGAUUUGACCCCCAGGCCUGCAAACCUCCAUAUGCUGUGGGUACGGCCCUAAAAAGACCAAAAAAAAAAAAAAAAGGAAAGAAAAGUGAAAUCAAACAUAAUUUCCAACCACAAAGCUAUAAGGUCAGAAUCAACUAUUAGGGGAAAAAACCUGCAAAAAACACAGACACAUGGAGACUAAACAAUACACUACUAAACAACCAAUGUCGCUGAAAAAAGUCUAAGAGGAAAUUAAAAAAAAGACAAAUGAAAACAUAAUGAUCCAAAACCUACGAGACACAGCAAAAGCAGUUCUGAGAAGGAAAUUUAUAGCAAUACAAGUUUGUCUUGGGAAACAAACAAACAAAAAUCUCAAAUAAACAACCUUGCCUUAUACCUAACACAACUAGGGAAAGGAGAACAAACAAAACCCAAAGUUAAUAGAAAGAAAGCAUGAAGAACAGAGCAGAAAUAAAGACAAAGAAAACAAUAGAAAAGAUCAAUAAAAUUGAUAAAACUUUUAGCCAGAUUCAUCAAGAAAAAAAAAAAAAAGAGGGGCUCAAAUCAAUAAAAUUAGAGAUGAAAAAUCAGAAGUUACAAUGAACAUUACAGAAAUAAAAAGGAUCAUAAAAGACUAUAGAAGCAACUAUAUGCCAAUAAAAUGGACAACUAAGAAGAAAUGGACAAAUUCUUAGUAAGGAAAAAUCUUCCAUGAAUGACCAAGAAAGAAAUAGAAAAUAUAAACAGACCAAUCAGAAGUACUAAAAUUGAAACUGUGAUUAAAAAACUUCCAAUGAAAAAAAUCCCAAUACCAGAUGGCUUCACAGGUGAAUUCUAUCAAAUGUUUAGAGAAGAUAUAACACUUAUCCUUUUGAAAAUAUUUCAGAAAACUGCCAAGAAAGUCUCUCAAACUCAUUCUAUGAGGCCAUUAUCACCAUGAUACCAAAACCAAAGAUACAACAAGAGAAAAUUACAGACCAAUAUCACUGGUGAAUAAUAAUGCAAAAUCCCUCAAUCAAAUACUAAAUCCAACAAAACAAUUAAAGGACCAUACACCACGAUCAAGUGGGCUUUACCCCAGGGAUGCAAGGAUCUUUCAAUAUCUGCAAGUCAAUCAGUGUGAUACACCAAACUGAAUAAUAAAAACCAUGUGACUACCUCAAUAGAUGCAGAAAAGCUUCCAACAAAAUCCAACACCGAUUUCUGAUUAAAAAAAACCUCUAGAAAGUGAGCAUAGAGGGAAUCCAUGUCAACAUAAUAAAUGUGAAAUAUGACAAACUCACAGCUGACAUUAUUCUCAAUGGUAAAAAGCUGAAAUCAUUUCCUCUAAGAUCAGGAACAAGACAAGGAUGUAAACUCUCAUGAUUUUUAUUCAACAUAGUUUUUGAAGUCCUAGCCACAGCAAUCAGAGAAGAAAAAGAAAUAAGAAGAAUUCAAAUUGGAAAAUAAGAAGUAAAGCUGUCACUCUUUGCAGAUGACAUGAUACUAUACAUAGAAAAUCCUACAGAUGCUGCCAGAAAUCUACCAGAGUUUAUCAGUCACUUUGGUAAAUUUGCAUGGUUCAAAAUUAAUACACAUAAGUCUCUUGCUUUCCUAUAUACUAAUAAAGAAAGAUCAGAAAGAAAUUAAGGAAAUAAUCACAUUCACCAUCACAUUAAAAGAAUACUAAGGAACAAACCCACAUAAGACCUGUACUCAGAAAACUGUAAGAUGCUGUUGAAAGAAAUCAAAAAUGACACAAAGAGGAGUUCCUGAAUGGCUCAGUGGUUAACGAAUCCGACUAGGAUCCAUGACGUUGUGGGUUUGAUCCCUGGCCUUGCUCCAUGGGUUAAGGAUCCAGUGCUGCCCUGAGCUGUGGUGUAGGUUGCAGCUGUGGCUCAGAUACUGCAUUGCCAUGGCUGUGGUGUAGGCCGGCGGCUACAGCUCUGAUUAGACCCCUAGCCUGGGAACCUCCAUAUGCUGCGGGAGUGGCCCUAGAAAAGGC
rnacentral:lncRNA from 1 species